rnacentral:lncRNA from 1 species
AACAAGGCAAGGUACAAACACCAGCGAAACUGUAACAUACAAGGACAAUACCAAAAGAAGUAAUUACACUAAACAGGUGAAGGUCAGGGCAGGCAGCAAACAAUCAUAAACCAGGAACAUGGAAACUAGAAAACACGGAAGGGCUAAACAUUCAAUCACCAGCGAUGUGAGCAUGUGUGUGCUGUUCUUAUAGUGUGAGACUGAUGAGGUGAUGAGAGACAGGUGAUUGCAAUUGAUGAUGAGUCUGGGCAAAGGAUUAUGGGAAAUGGAGUCCAGGGUGAAGUGGCAAGAGUCUGGAAUGGAGUGCCCUCUAAUGAAGCUCACGGGCACUCCAGCUAGAGAUUGUGACAAUUGUCAUUUGUUUGACUGUGGCGUGUUUAGCUGGCAGAGCAGAUGCAGCAGGUCACGUCAAGGGAGGAGGAGGUUGUGGCCCUACAGAAGGAGUGUAAAUUUCAAAAGGACGAGCUGUGUGAUCUGUGAGAGGUGGUGCAGCGAUGGCAGCAGGAGGUGCAGGAGCAGAAGGAGAGCCGGGUAAAGGAGGUGCAGGCCCUUAAGGAAGAGCUGCAGAGCACACAAAGUUGUCUGCAGCAGCACAGAGAUACAGCCCACAGACAGCAGAGAGACACGGAGGAUGAGGUGAGACAGCUCAGCAGACUUCACUUUCACUAUAUCACAACUUCUGGUUCUAAAUAUUAGAGUCUGUGUGUGUCAGGUCUCCUGCAGGGCGGCAGCUCUCCGCAGUCAGGAUACAGAGUUGAUUCAACUAAAGGCAGGUCUGCUGGAGGCUGAGAAACUAGACACAGAGGCACGACUGCAACCUCUUACCGAAUCCCUAGAGCUCUGCCAACACAAGUACCAGGCCUGCCUCAGCAAGAUCACACAACAAGAGAACACUCUGCAUAGCCACGAGGAGGACCUGAAAGAGGCCCACAAUCAGGUUGGUAUUUAAAUUAGUAUUAGUUACCUUUAAAAAUUAAACCUGCGUUGCAAAUAUAGGUACACAGAGUAUAGUGGC